rnacentral:rRNA from 1 species
GACGUAGGGUGCGAGCGUUGUCCGGAUUUAUUGGGCGUAAAGAGCUCGUAGGCGGCUCGUCGCGUCGACCGUGAAAACCCGCGGCUUAACUGCGGGCUUGCGGUUGAUACGGGCGGGCUAGAGUUCGGUAGGGGAGACUGGAAUUCCUGGUGUAGCGGUGGAAUGCGCAGAUAUCAGGAGGAACACCAAUAGCGAAGGCAGCUCGCUGGGACGGUACUGACGCUAAGGCGCGAAAGCGUGGGGAGCGAACAGG